GACGAACGCUGGCGGCGUGCUUAACACAUGCAAGUCGAACGGAAAGGCCCCUUUGGGGGUACUCGAGUGGCGAACGGGUGAGUAACACGUGAGUAACCUGCCCUUGACUUCGGGAUAACUUCAGGAAACUGGGGCUAAUACCGGAUAGGAAUCCUUGCUGCAUGGUUGGGGUUGGAAAGCUUCGGCGGUUUUGGAUGGACUCGCGGCUUAUCAGCUUGUUGGUGGGGUAGUGGCUUACCAAGGCUUUGACGGGUAGCCGGCCUGAGAGGGCGACCGGCCACAUUGGGACUGAGAUACGGCCCAGACUCCUACGGGAGGCAGCAGUGGGGAAUAUUGCACAAUGGGCGGAAGCCUGAUGCAGCAACGCCGCGUGCGGGAUGACGGCCUUCGGGUUGUAAACCGCUUUCAGCAGGGGCGAAGCUUGUGGUGACGGUACCUGCAGAAGAAGCACCGGCUAACUACGUG
rnacentral:rRNA from 1 species